rnacentral:rRNA from 1 species
GGUCAAGUGAAGAAGCGCAUACGGUGGAUGCCUUGGCAGUCAGAGGCGAUGAAAGACGUUGUAGCCUGCGAUAAGCUCCGGGGAGUCGGCAAACAGACUUUGAUCCGGAGAUCUCUGAAUGGGGGAACCCAGCCAGCAUAAGCUGGUUAUUACACACUGAAUACAUAGGUGUGUAAGGCGAACCAGGGGAACUGAAACAUCUAAGUACCCUGAGGAAUAGAAAUCAACCGAGAUUCCCUUAGUAGUGGCGAGCGAACGGGGACUAGCCCUUAAGUUGAUUUGAGUGUAGUGGAAGGCUCUGGAAAGUGCCGCCGUAGUGGGUGAUAGCCCCGUACACGAAACGCUCUUAUCAAUGAAAUCGAGUAGGACGGGGCACGAGAAACCUUGUCUGAACAUGGGGGGACCAUCCUCCAAGGCUAAAUACUACUGACUGACCGAUAGUGAACUAGUACCGUGAGGGAAAGGCGAAAAGAACCCCGGAGAGGGGAGUGAAAUAGAUCCUGAAACCGUAUGCGUACAAGCAGUGGGAGCCUACUUUGUUGGGUGACUGCGUACCUUUUGUAUAAUGGGUCAGCGACUUAUAUUCAGUGGCGAGCUUAACCGAAUAGGGGAGGCGUAGCGAAAGCGAGUCUUAAUAGGGCGACAGUCGCUGGGUAUAGACCCGAAACCGGGCGAUCUAUCCAUGGGCAGGUUGAAGGUUGGG